GCGCUCACUUUGGCAGCACGUACAUUUGGAGAGAUUAGCAUGGCCCCUGUGUAAGGAUGGCAUGCAAAUUCAUGAAAAGUUCUAAUUUCUU
rnacentral:snRNA from 1 species